GAGGAAACCUUCUCUCUGGGUCCUGGAGUAUUUUCAUCAGGAAUUGUUUACUGAUUUGAUUUCCUAGAAGAGACGCCCGGGUACAGUGCAGUUACCAGCAACUGGGGCACCCAAGCCUGAGAAUCAAGAGAAGCCUCACAGUGACACCCCCAACUGAGGAAACUCACAGAGCUGCAGGUGGAGCUGGGACUCCAGCUGGGGUGCCUGCCCCACUGGGACAUAUUCUAUUUUCUUUGGACAAAAAAAUACUGACUACAGCAG
rnacentral:lncRNA from 1 species